UAGGGAAUAUUGGGCAGUGGAGGCAACUCUGACCCAGCCACGCCGCGUGCAGGAGGAAGGCGCUCUGCGUUGUAAACUGCUUUAGCAGGGGAAGAAAAAGGCCAUGCGUGGCAAAUUGACGGUACCCUGAGAAUAAGCACCGGCUAACUACGUGCCAGCAGCCGCGGUAAUACGUAGGGUGCAAGCGUUGUCCGGAUUUAUUGGGUUUAAAGGGUGCGUAGGCGGUCUAUUAAGUCAGUGUUUAAAUUUUGCAGCUUAACUGUAGGUAUGGCAUUGAUACUGAUGGACUUGAAUAUUAGAGAGGUAGCUGGAAUUUAUGGUGUAGCGGUGAAAUGCAUAGAUACCAUAAGGAACACCGAUAGCGGAGGCAUGUUACCAUCUGGUUAUUGACGCUGAGGCACGAAAGUGUGGGGAUCAAACAGG
rnacentral:rRNA from 1 species